CUCUGGGCUCUAGCCGCCUGGGAGGGCUGUUCCCAGGACUGCGCCUCCUGAGGGCAAGCCCCUGGCCCUCCCGCCGAGCUGCCUAGCGCCCCCCUGAAUGGAAGGGCCAUUGUCACCGGGAAGUUCUCCCCCUGUACCUAUCCUAAAUUCGUCCUGGGCUGAUUCCUCUGGAAACCCACCCAGGCCUGGACGGACAGAAUCCCAGAACUGCCCAGCUCAGCCCAGAAUCCAGUGAGCUCCGUGUCCUUAAAACAGUGCAUCGACCUCUCUGAGCCUCAGUUGCUUCAUCUGGAAAAUGAAGUUAACGAUAAAACCUCCCUGGAAGCCCCGACCGGUGUGGCCAUGCUGGCUGGGCGCUGUCCCGAAGAGGCUCAGCCCCCGGUCAGGGCACACGACUGGGUUGCUGGCUCAGUCCCCUUGGGGCACAGACGGGACCGAACCAUGUGCCUCUCUCACAUCGAUGUUUCUCUCUCUCUCUUCCC